AAACCAGCACCUCAAGUGGUCAGGAUGAUUAUUGGGCCUAAAGCAUCCGUAGCCGGCUCUGUAAGUUUUCGGUUAAAUCUGUACGCUUAACGUACAGGCUGCCGGGAAUACUUCAGAGCUAGGGAGUGGGAGAGGUAGACGGUACUCGGGAGGAAGUGGUAAAAUGCUUUGAUCUCUCGAUGACCACCUGUGGCGAAGGCGGUCUACCAGAACACGUCCGACGGUGAGGGAUGAAAGCUGGGGGAGCAAACCGGAUUAGAAACCCCUGUAGUCC
rnacentral:rRNA from 1 species